UCGGGGGCAGGAACCGAGGCUCCUGCAGGCCACGUAGAAAAAGAGGUCACUUGGUGGAUGGGGACCUUCAUGUCAUGUGAGCGGAGGACAGGCUACUUUACCUGUGUGUACACAUGGACUAGACCACACUGAACUGCCCUUCCCUGAUGCACCUUUGAAGUAUGCAUGACCGUAUAGACAACAGACGGAAGUUGAAUGCUUUAUGGGGCUCAAUGGGGUGUUUCCUAGCAAAGGAAUUUAUAUAAUGCCUUCUCGGGUUUUUUGGGUUUUUUUGCACUAAUAAAAAUGUAAAAAGUUAA
rnacentral:lncRNA from 1 species